UGCUCUCCCAUCAAUAUUUCUGAAUAUUACUAGUGACUGGAGGAAAUUUUAUUGGCUGUUGCAGUUCAUUGAGAAUUAAUUGAUAUGGCACACUUACUCUACAUGAACUUGGAAAAAAGUAUAUCAAAGCUAUGUCUCUUUAAAUCUACUGUGGAAGAUAUUCCUUCUGGCCCAUAAGAUGCCAAAAUGACUUGAUGAUUUAUUUAUGUAGAGCUUGGCAGACUGGAGUCCAGAUUGUGGCUGAAGCUGAAUUUUAUGAGCCUUCCCCUAGUUCACCCAAAAAAGGACCUAUUGAUUCACAGCUGGAUAAUCAGAAAUUACAAGAGCAAACAGACCUGGCAAAACAAUUUCCAAACCUAUUUUCCUCCUGUACAUACUUUCCCAAAGUGAAAAAUAUCAAGGCCAAAAAGGGAAAUACUUUGUUAAGGGCAGAAGGAAGGAUUUCAACAAAGGGAUAAAGGAACAGAGUCAUUGGGGGAAUCAGGUGGAGGUUUAUGGGUAAUGAAGAUGGUGCUGCACUUUGACAUUCUAAACUUACACUUGAUGACUGCCAGUGACCAGCUCUGUGAAUGUGGCAGUUUAUCAGACUCCAGAGGCUUCAGUUUAUAGGCUUUGAGAUCUGGCCAGAGUUACAAGGCUUUUUCAAAGUGAAAUAAAGGGUAUUAUGGACAAGCAAAGGAUUAAACUCUGGUCAGUUUAAAUAUUGAUAAUACUGCCAGGCUUGGUGAAUAAAUUGGUCACUAAAGUGCUUUUUCCUCUCUUUUUUAUUCUUUGUAAUAAGGGAUUAUUCUCUCAUUGUCUUUCCCACUAAAUCCCUCCCCACUCCCAUCUUCUCUUUCACUGUGGAAGGCAGCACCAUCCUCCCAGUUCCUUAGGCUUACAAC